GUUGUUUUGGCAGAUUAGUGCUAUUGAUUUAGAAUCUUUAUAUGUAAGUUUUUACAGACAACA
rnacentral:tRNA from 1 species